rnacentral:rRNA from 1 species
AGACUGGGAUAACUCCGGGAAACCGGGGCUAAUACCGGAUGCUUGUUUGAACCGCAUGGUUCAAACAUAAAAGGUGGCUUCGGCUACCACUUACAGAUGGACCCGCGGCGCAUUAGCUAGUUGGUGAGGUAAUGGCUCACCAAGGCAACGAUGCGUAGCCGACCUGAGAGGGUGAUCGGCCACACUGGGACUGAGACACGGCCCAGACUCCUACGGGAGGCAGCAGUAGGGAAUCUUCCGCAAUGGACGAAAGUCUGACGGAGCAACGCCGCGUGAGUGAUGAAGGUUUUCGGAUCGUAAAGCUCUGUUGUUAGGGAAGAACAAGUACCGUUCGAAUAGGGCGGUACCUUGACGGUACCUAACCAGAAAGCCACGGCUAACUACGUGCCAGCAGCCGCGGUAAUACGUAGGUGGCAAGCGUUGUCCGGAAUUAUUGGGCGUAAAGGGCUCGCAGGCGGUUCCUUAAGUCUGAUGUGAAAGCCCCCGGCUCAACCGGGGAGGGUCAUUGGAAACUGGGGGAACUUGAGUGCAGAAAAGGAGAGUGGAAUUCCACGUGUAGCGGUGAAAUGCGUAGAGAUGUGGAGGAACACCAGUGGCGAAAGCGACUCUCUGGUCUGUAACUGACGCUGAGGAACGAAAGCGUGGGGAGCGAACAGGAUUAUAUACCUGGUAGU